UCAUCUAUUUCUUCUUUUGUUUAUGAAUGGUUGCUGUUCCUUCUUUAUGUUUGUUCUUUAUGUUUCUUGAUUCAAUUUUAUCAGCUGUUUUUGUUGAAUUUUUUGAAAUCUCCUAUUAGGGUUUACUUUAUUAUAAUGCUCUCUUUUGCAGUAAAAGACAAGAUUUUUUCUUUCUUCUUGAAUCUUUAUACCAAGCCUCUCUAUUUGAUAAGUCUGAAUGGCCAUGGAUGCCAAUAGAGAAGAUCCAAACAGGAGGUUUUUAGCAACCCAGCUAUACUGGCCCAGCGGAAAAGAACUAGUUUUUAGAUUUCGCGUUUUCAGUAACCAGGGUGACAGAGCUCUUCCCCCAAAUUUUGUUUCAACUCAUGGGGAACGAUUAGGGCCAAUAUUCUAUGUCAUUGAC